GACGAACGCUGGCGGCGUGCUUAACACAUGCAAGUCGAACGGAAAGGCCCUGCUUUUGUGGGGUGCUCGAGUGGCGAACGGGUGAGUAACCCGUGAGUAACCUGCCCUUGACUUUGGGAUAACUUCAGGAAACUGGGGCUAAUACCGGAUAGGAGCUCCUGCUGCAUGGUGGGGGUUGGAAAGUUUCGGCGGUUGGGGGUGGACUCGCGGCUUACCAGCUUGUUGGUGGGGUAGUGGCUUACCGAGGCGUUGACGGGUAGCCGGCCUGUGGGGGUGAUCGGCCACAUUGGGACUGAGAUACGGCCCAGACUCCGACGGGAGGCAGCAGGGGGGAAUAUUGCACAAGGGGCGGAGGCCUGAUGCAGAAACGCCGCGUGCGGGAUGACGGCCUUCGGGUUGUAAACCGCUUUCGCCUGUGACGAAGCGUGUGUGACGGUAAUGGGUAAAGAAGCACCGGCUAACUACGGGC
rnacentral:rRNA from 1 species